CUUCAUCUUCAUGGCUGUGGGUUCAAAUCUCCCUGAGAAGAGAAGGGAACAGACCACUGUCAGGUGUGGUGGCGACAACAGCCUCGUCUCCCGUGAGAAGCAAGUGCAGAGUAAAUGCUUGGAGGGUGUCUAGGAAACAGCUGGACGUGGCCUGGUGUACUGCAGAGAAAUGGACGCAGACACAGGGAGUGAGUGUUCCUGGGACGAGUGAUCAAGGCCUGGCUGCCUCCCAGGAAAAGGCAACAACCUCCCUUGUUGGAAAUAUCAUUGCAACUGCCUGCCAAACACGCUCUGGGUGAACAGUGGUGCUGGCCUGUGGAAAUGCUUCCUCUGCCCACUCCCUACAACAAAUAAAAGUGGCCGUCUUUAAUAAGUUCCAGUGAUGUGCUGGGCACCGUGCUCAAUAAGUGUUGUAUGUAUGGAUUUCAUUUAAUCGCCACGACGACUCUGCGGUAGGCACUUGUUUUGGAUUGCAAGUUUGUGCCCCCUCAGAUUCGUGCAUUGAAGCCCUAACCCCCAAUGGGAUGGUAUUUGGAGGUGGGGCCUUUGGGCGGUGAUUAGGCCUAGAGGAGGGUGGAGCCCCCAUGAGAGGAUUGGUGUCCUUAUUAG
rnacentral:lncRNA from 1 species